rnacentral:rRNA from 1 species
UACGUAGGGCGCAAGCGUUAUCCGGAAUUAUUGGGCGUAAAGAGCUUGUGGCGGUUCGUCGCGUCUGGUGUGAAAGCCCAUCGCUUAACGGUGGGUCUGCGCCGGGUACGGGCGGGCUAGAGUGCAGUAGGGGAGACUGGAAUUCCCGGUGUAACGGUGGAAUGUGUAGAUAUCGGGAAGAACACCAAUGGCGAAGGCAGGUCUCUGGGCUGUUACUGACGCUGAGAAGCGAAAGCGUGGGGAGCGAACAGGAUUAGAUACCCUGGUAGUCAAGGGCGAAUUCGUU